rnacentral:tRNA from 1 species
ACGUCUGUAGCUCAAUUGGUAGAGCAGCGGUCUCCAAAACCGCAGGUUGGGGGUUCGAGUCCCUCCAGACGUG